UGGGGAAUAUUGGACAAUGGGGGACCGGUAGCAUCCAGCCACCGCCGCGUCGUGUGAAGAAGGCCAGCUUAUGGUUGUAAAGCACUUUAAGCGAGGAGGAGGCUCUUUUGGUUAAUACCCAAGAUGAGUGGACGUUACUCGCAGAAUAAGCACCGGCUAACUCUGUGCCAGCAGCCGCGGUAAUACAGAGGGUGCGAGCGUUAAUCGGAUUUACUGGGCGUAAAGCGUGCGUAGGCGGCUUUUUAAGUCGGAUGUGAAAUCCCCGAGCUUAACUUGGGAAUUGCAUUCGAUACUGGGAAGCUAGAGUAUGGGAGAGGAUGGUAGAAUUCCAGGUGUAGCGGUGAAAUGCGUAGAGAUCUUGGAGGAAUACCGAUGGCGAAGGCAGCCAUCUGGCCUAAUACUGACGCUGAGGUACGAAAGCAUGGGGAGCAAACA
rnacentral:rRNA from 1 species